rnacentral:tRNA from 1 species
AAGGAAGUCAUACUGGGUAUGAGGUUGGCUUGAAACCGAUUUAACGGGGUUCAAUUCCUCCCUUUCUUG